UACGUAGGGUGCGAGCGUUGUCCGGAAUUAUUGGGCGUAAAGAGCUCGUAGGCGGCCUGUCGCGUCGGCUGUGAAAGCCCGGGGCUUAACCCCGGGUCUGCAUUCGAUACGGGCAGGCUGGAGUGUGGUAGGGGAGAUCGGAAUUCCUGGUGUAGCGGUGAAAUGCGCAGAUAUCAGGAGGAACACCGGUGGCGAAGGCGGAUCUCUGGGCCAUUACUGACGCUGAGGAGCGAAAGCGUGGGGAGCGAACAGG
rnacentral:rRNA from 1 species